GUUUAUUUUACAGAUGAGGAAAUGGAAAUCUCAAGGAAUCAGACCAUUUUUGCCAACCUUCCCUCCUGAGCCCUUUCACCUUGCACCAAUCCCAUACCAAGCAAUGCUCCUUCGAAGGGGAACACAAUGGCUGGAUUACACAGACAAUGAAGUGAGCCAACCCUGGGACUUCUAGACGGGAAGGUCCUACCUAGCAGGACAGAAAGCAUGCCUGGGGAGUGCACCACCUUUUACAUAUCCAUCUCUUUAUUGAAGGACAUUGCAGUGGAAUCCAUCUUUUCACUGGUACAAAUACUGCUACAAUGGCCAUCCUUGCAUGUAUCCUUUGUGCCCAGGAAGAUGCCUCUGUGUGUCUCCUGGGAAUGGAAGGGAGGCACCAGGCUGGCAGGGAUGGAAGAUACUGAAGGAAAGGGGGUCCAGUUCAUCUGCAUGAUAAGAGCACUGAUCAAUCAAUCAAUCAAUCAAUCAGUCAACAAAUGAAUGCCUCUGGCUGAGAGGAGAAGAGGAAGAUGAAGAGGGGAGAGGAGACGAUUCCAGCUGAGUGAACCAGAUUCUUUUCUACCCAUUACUCUUACUCUACUUCCUAACCAGAAACUCUUCUAAUCUUUCUCUUCUCUCUUUCUCUCUCUCUCUCUUUAGAGACGAAGUGAGGAGGAGCAGAGAAAGAGGGAGAAAGAGAAUCCCAAGCAGACUCCGUGCCCAGCACGGAGCCCGACUC